AUUGAACGCUGGCGGCAUGCUUUACACAUGCAAGUCGAACGGUAACAGGCCGCAAGGUGCUGACGAGUGGCGAACGGGUGAGUAAUGCAUCGGAACGUGCCCAGUCGUGGGGGAUAACUGCUCGAAAGAGCAGCUAAUACCGCAUACGAUCUAUGGAUGAAAGCGGGGGACCGUAAGGCCUCGCGCGAUUGGAGCGGCCGAUGUCAGAUUAGGUAGUUGGUGGGGUAAAGGCUCACCAAGCCAACGAUCUGUAGCUGGUCUGAGAGGACGACCAGCCACACUGGGACUGAGACACGGCCCAGACUCCUACGGGAGGCAGCAGUGGGGAAUUUUGGACAAUGGGGGCAACCCUGAUCCAGCAAUGCCGCGUGCAGGAAGAAGGCCUUCGGGUUGUAAACUGCUUUUGUACGGAACGAAACGGUCUGGGCUAAUACCCUGGGCUAAUGACGGUACCGUAAGAAUAAGCACCGGCUAACUACGUGCCAGCCGCCGCGGUAAUAC
rnacentral:rRNA from 1 species